rnacentral:lncRNA from 1 species
AGUUAACCAACAGGACACAGCCCUGGUGAUGGCUUUCUGAGGAUGACACGAUGGAGGCUUCUCCAAUAGCUCUAAAACUGCGGAGUGGAAAACAUUUGGCAGCCUCAAAGAGCGGUCUUGACCCCAACUAUAUCAUUUUUCAUCAAAAUCAUUCUUGUAAAGAAUGACCAGGCAACACUCUUUGAAAAUUGGAGACCAUUUGCAGCUGCUCUCUGUUGAGGAAAGUGAAUAAUAGGGUGCCCUCAAGGAAUUGCAAAGGUAUCACUCAACAGAAACUUUCGUGUCUGAAGAAAACUAGAUCAUUUUAUCAUGGUAGGCAUGCUGAUAUGUUUGCUUUAAUAAAAUGCCAUAUUUCUGCCUUUAAUCUCUUGUCAACCCGCUAUUAAAAAGCCCCAAAGUGCAUGCGUGCAGCACAUGUAAACACUUGUGGUUUUGAGGUUACCACAGAACAUACUAAUAAAGCAUGUAAUUUGUGUUUUGUGCACA